GAUGAAGAAACGUAGCGAAAUGCGAUAAGUAAUGUGAAUUGCAGAAUUCAGUGAAUCAUCGAAUCUUUGAACGCACAUUGCGCCCGCCAGUAUUCUGGCGGGCAUGCCUGUUCGAGCGUCAUUACAACCCUCAGGCCCCCGGGCCUGGCGUUGGGGAUCGGCGGAAGCCCCCUGCGGGCACAACGCCGUCCCCCAAAUACAGUGGCGGUCCCGCCGCAGCUUCCAUUGCGUAGUAGCUAACACCUCGCAACUGGAGAGCGGCGCGGCCACGCCGUAAAACACCCAACUUCUGAAUGUUGACCUCGAAUCAGGUAGGAAUACCCGCUGAACUUAAGCAUAUCAAUAAGCGGAGGA
rnacentral:misc_RNA from 1 species